ensembl:lncRNA
CUUCAUGAAAAAUAAAAGCCUAGAAUCACUUUUGCAUUCUGCUUCUCAACAACGAUUGAAUCAUCCUUUAAGUAGAGUCAGAGUCAUUAUGUACUUCUCAGGUUCUGUCAGUGUGUCUCACAGCGAUAUUUAAAUUUAGUCUUCUCGAUCCCAUCAUGACACCUACAGAGUCUGAAGAAGAGGAGGAUGUUUAUGAAAACAUGGAGACAGAAAGCUAGAAACCAUAAAGUGAACACUGACCUCAUAAUUGGUGGAAGCUCCUACUGUGAGGAUUCUAUCAUCGUUGUUAUAGUAUUAGCAAACACUAAUAGGUUUUACGUGACAGAAACCCUAUUCAAACUGACUUAACAAAAAGGACAGUUUACGACAAAUGGUCCUGUGAUUGCAUGAGAUGGGAAUGUGCCAGCGCCUUAGGAGGAAUCAGAACCAGACGCUCAAAUGAAGGUGGGUCUACUUUGGCCCCUAUCCAUUGACAUCUCAGUGCUUUGGUGAGGACAGUUCAUCCAUGGAAUAUUUCAGAGAAGAGAAUCAAUAACUGCACAAGGAAUCACAUUCUGAUGCGGGUCUUCUUCAAAGACCUGAUGAGAAACCUCUGGCCCUCUUGCUGCACUGUACAAACCUUGAUGUGUUUCUCUGCUGGCCAUACUGAGCUGAUGGUCCCAAUGUCAAUCAAUGUGAAGUAAACAAAACAACUCACAUAGGUGAAGUGCCCUGUGCAAGGUCGCCUGCUCCAAGUAAGAGGAUUCAGAAUGCAGACCCCACACUCUUGACUCCAGCCAGUCUCUUGCCUCAUUCCUGUGGAAAUGAAAAUACAGAUUGUUGUUCUUGUCUGAGGUUCAGGGAGAGGUGUUGAAGUACAGACUUCAUAGCAGCGGACUGGCUGAAACUGGGAUAAUCAUAUAUUAAUAAGUGUCUUUGGAGAAAAGCUUUCAGGA